rnacentral:rRNA from 1 species
GAUGAACGCUGGCGGCGUGCCUAUACAUGCAAGUCGAGCGAAUGGAUUAAGAGCUUGCUCUUAUGAAGUUAGCGGCGGACGGGUGAGUAACACGUGGGUAACCUGCCCAUAAGACUGGGAUAACUCCGGGAAACCGGGGCUAAUACCGGAUAACAUUUUGAACCGCAUGGUUCGAAAUUGAAAGGCGGCUUCGGCUGUCACUUAUGGAUGGACCCGCGUCGCAUUAGCUAGUUGGUGAGGUAAAGGCCCACGAAGGCAACGAUGCGUAGCCGACCUUGGAGGGUGAUCGGCCAAACUGUGACUGAGACACGGCCCAGACUCCUACGGGAGGCAGCAGUAGGGAAUCUUCCGCAAUGGACGAAAGUCUGACGGAGCAACGCCGCGUGGGUGAUGAAGGCUUUCGGGUCGUAAAACUCUGUUGUUAGGGAAGAACAAGUGCUAGUUGAAUAAGCUGGCACCUUGACGGUACCUAACCAGAAAGCCACGGCUAACUACGUGCCAGCAGCCGCCGUAA